GAAGCACGCCAGACCGCCGCUGGUGCGCGCUUGAGAAGGCCGCACUGGAGGAACGUCCGGACUGCACAGGGCAGCGUAGCAGCUAACGGCUGUCCACCGUGAGGUGAGGAUCAGAGCAACAGAGACGAGUCCGAGCGGGUGCCGCCACGGAGUGUUCUGUGAGGCGCCAGCGCAAGCUGGCGAGAGGACAGCGAAAGCUGUCCGAACCCGGCGCAAGCCGGGUCCGAACAGCCACCCCGAGCGGGCAACGCCCGCUCGGGGUGAAACGGGCAAUCUCUACGCGCAGCAACACCAAGUAGGCACACGUUGACGGGGCCCCCGGAGUGUGCGGGUAGGUGGCAUCGAGCCGGGUGGGCGACCCCCGGCCCAGAGUAAUGGCGGUCACGCCCGGGCAACCGGGUGCACAGAAUCCGGCUUAUCGGCGCGCUUCACAC
rnacentral:RNase_P_RNA from 2 species